rnacentral:rRNA from 1 species
AGAGUUUGAUUCUGGCUCAGAUUGAACGCUGGCGGCAGGCCUAACACAUGCAAGUCGAACGGUAACAGGAAGCAGCUUGCUGCUUCGCUGACGAGUGGCGGACGGGUGAGUAAUGUCUGGGAAACUGCCUGAUGGAGGGGGAUAACUACUGGAAACGGUAGCUAAUACCGCAUAACGUCGCAAGACCAAAGAGGGGGACCUUCGGGCCUCUUGCCAUCGGAUGUGCCCAGAUGGGAUUAGCUUGUUGGUGGGGUAACGGCUCACCAAGGCGACGAUCCCUAGCUGGUCUGAGAGGAUGACCAGCCACACUGGAACUGAGACACGGUCCAGACUCCUACGGGAGGCAGCAGUGGGGAAUAUUGCACAAUGGGCGCAAGCCUGAUGCAGCCAUGCCGCGUGUAUGAAGAAGGCCUUCGGGUUGUAAAGUACUUUCAGCGGGGAGGAAGGGAGUAAAGUUAAUACCUUUGCUCAUUGACGUUACCCGCAGAAGAAGCACCGGCUAACUCCGUGCCAGCAGCCGCGGUAAUACGGAGGGUGCAAGCGUUAAUCGGAAUUACUGGGCGUAAAGCGCACGCAGGCGAUUUGUUAAGUCAGAUGUGAAAUCCCCGGGCUCAACCUGGGAACUGCAUCUGAUACUGGCAAGCUUGAGUCUCGUAGAGGGGGGUAGAAUUCCAGGUGUAGCGGUGAAAUGCGUAGAGAUCUGGAGGAAUACCGGUGGCGAAGGCGGCCCCCUGGACGAAGACUGACGCUCAGGUGCGAAAGCGUGGGGAGCAAACAGGAUUAGAUACCCUGGUAGUCCACGCCGUAAACGAUGUCGACUUGGAGGUUGUGCCCUUGAGGCGUGGCUUCCGGAGCUAACGCGUUAAGUCGACCGCCUGGGGAGUACGGCCGCAAGGUUAAAACUCAAAUGAAUUGACGGGGGCCCGCACAAGCGGUGGAGCAUGUGGUUUAAUUCGAUGCAACGCGAAGAACCUUACCUGGUCUUGACAUCCACGGAAGUUUUCAGAGAUGAGAAUGUGCCUUCGGGAACCGUGAGACAGGUGCUGCAUGGCUGUCGUCAGCUCGUGUUGUGAAAUGUUGGGUUAAGUCCCGCAACGAGCGCAACCCUUAUCCUUUGUUGCCAGCGGUCCGGCCGGGAACUCAAAGGAGACUGCCAGUGAUAAACUGGAGGAAGGUGGGGAUGACGUCAAGUCAUCAUGGCCCUUACGACCAGGGCUACACACGUGCUACAAUGGCGCAUACAAAGAGAAGCGACCUCGCGAGAGCAAGCGGACCUCAUAAAGUGCGUCGUAGUCCGGAUUGGAGUCUGCAACUCGACUCCAUGAAGUCGGAAUCGCUAGUAAUCGUGGAUCAGAAUGCCACGGUGAAUACGUUCCCGGGCCUUGCACUCACCGCCCGUCA